rnacentral:lncRNA from 1 species
AUGAUCCUUAGCCCUUGACAGAGAGCAGAUACAGAUUUAUGGCAUGAGAUAGCCAUACCAGGUCGCCCCUGGAUAGUCCAGGUCGCUCCUGGUACUAUGAGUGAGUGAGACAGCUGGGCUGUCAGAGCAGAGAUAAGUGGAAGACCAGGUGAUGACAUCGUCUCCUUGGCACAAUUGGUCAUGUUUGAGAUCAGAGCAGAGAUAAGUGGAAGACCAGGUGAUGACAUCGUCUCCUUGGCACAAUUGGUCAUGUUUGAGAUCAGAGCAGAGAUAAGUGGAAGACCAGGUGAUGACAUUGUCUCCUUGGCACUGUUGGUAUUCUAACAUGUAGUUGAGGGCUACUGGUGACACGUUCAUCUUUGAGCUGAUAUGAUUGUGAUGUGAUGCAUUUCAUGCGAACAUGUAAUGAAUGAACUGUUUUACUGUUCCUCCUCACUGGGCUCUAGAGCUCAUCCCACUCCCUUAACCCCAGUUUUGCAGGUCCUGAGAUAGCUAUGGGAAAUCAAAGUCAGCAAGAGGACAGAGGAAAGUUGUGCUUGAAUGUAUGUU